CCAGUAAGAGCAAGCGAGGAUUAGAAGAGCAAAAGCUAUGAGACCAAGCAUCGCUGCUAAACCACCAAAGAGAUAAGGAACCGGUGAAUGCCACGGUGAGUGAGGUCCUCCUCCCAUGGUGGUUCUGUUUCCUUCAACGUUUUCUCUCGGAGGGUAAUAUUGUCUUCCUUCCAUUUUUUUUUCACAAAGAUGGUUUUGAGUUUUGAGUUUUUUUUUUUUUUAGGAAAAUGUUUUGGUGUGAGGAGGAAGAUGAGUGAGGAAGGGUUUUAUAGAAGAGAAGAAGCGAAUUAACGUUGUGGAUUGUGUGUGACGUAUCAAUUUUUAAUUUUAUUAUUUUGCGUAUGAGAUUCUUUUUACUUCUGAUUUAUGGAAAUUUUUCUUAUUUAUUUAUGUAUUUGUAUGUAAUGAGUGAGUUGGAGA
rnacentral:lncRNA from 1 species